UGCGCAGAUGACGACAACAUAGACAGGGACAUCAGCACUCCAAAGGAGAAUGGUGACUACGUCUAAUGGGAAUCUCUCUGAUGCGCU
rfam:Glycine soja cultivar W05 scaffold1211_34, whole genome shotgun sequence.